rnacentral:rRNA from 1 species
GGGUCAGUAGGUUGGUCGUGCCACCGGUACGUACUGGUCUCACUGAUUCCUCCUUCCCGAAGAACCGUAAUGCCAUUAAUUUGGUGUUGCGGGGAAACAGGACUGUUACUUUGAAAAAAUUAGAGUGUUUAAAGCAGGCUAACGCUUGAAUACAUUAGCAUGGAAUAAUGAAAUAGGACGAUCGAUCCUAUUUUGUUGGUUUCUAGGAUUGACGUA